ensembl:lncRNA
GUAAGUGGGGCCAUUCUGGCUCUGCAGGAUGGCCCAGGGGGCCUACCCCCAGGGAGCCCCAGGCCUGGCGCUCCAACCGGGACUGCUGAGUGAAUUAGGUAGUUUCAUGUUGUUGGGCCUGGGCUUCUGAACACAACGACAUCAAACCACCUGAUUCAUGGCAGUUACUGCUCCUCGCUUAGCUGGAGGAGUGGCGGUGGUGGUGGUGGCCGGGCUCAAGGCUGGGGAGAGCACGGGAGUUCUGGGGUGCCUUCCCACUGCUGGAUGUGUCAGCGUGUUUGGGGCUCAGGCGGGGAGUGGGGAGCACUUAACUUUCCAAAGCCACCUCCCAGGCAGUGGCUGAGUCCUAACUUCUGAGCCUCCAGCUCCAGGGUCUUGGGCUCCUGUCUGCGCUCAGAACCUUCCAGAGACUCCGCAACUCAACUCUGCAGUCACAAGUGCACAAAGGCUGGGUUUCAACAGGGGCACGGGAGGCUCUUGAGGUCCUUGUGACCUUUGGAGGACCAGGCUCCCCCUCAGCAGAAAGUUCUAGGUCCGUAAGAGGGCUCAAUAGGCCCCCUUUCGGAGGAAAGAGAAAAUAGGAUUCCUUGUGGCCUCAGCCUAUACAGGCCCUCAGGGUCCCCUCCUAGGGCCCCCUAGUGGGGCAGCAGCUUGCUCCAGGGAGCUUCCAGGUGAAAGCUUUUCCUCUGCCGACCUCCAGCUGGCUCCUUCCCACCGGCCCCAGGGCUGGGCUGUGGGUCCUCAGGAGCCGCUCCCUGGCAGGCUCCGGAGAACCAGAGCGGUGAGGCCUUCAGCACAGACUGGUGCCGAGGGGAGAUAGCUGGGCAGGGCAAGCUAGUUACCCUCUCUGACCCCAGCCCUCUUAGGGCUGCUGGCUCUGUGCCCAGGGAAGGAGCAACCAGAAGCGCUGGUGGAAGGCGGGUGGGGAGCUCCCAAAGCAUAAGCUAACUUUUGUUCCUCCACUUUCCCCUGCCUGAGGCAGAGGAAAUAUGCAAAGGGGCCCAGGAAGAGGCUGGACCGGAUGGGGCUCGGGUGGCGCCAGGCUGACGUGGAGGACAGGGGGGCUCCAGGAACAAGGGGCCUUUGCUAGGACCCCUGGGGGACCUGCCCCACACAUGGGAAGGCAGCCUCAACCCACUCUUGAUACAUAGGGCCAACAGUGUUGCCCCUGGACAUUUUGUCGCCUUGGGUCUGGGUCCAGAGGGCCUGGGAGGCCUCUGCUGCCUUACCUUGCUUCUCAGGCUGCUGGUUCCCAACCUGCCCCAGUCUUCGAGCCAUCCAUGGUGUCCCUCAGCCACCCCUCUCAGGAAAAGUGCUGUAAAAAGAAGAAAAAAGGGGGAUGUUAGAGAGAAAGGAGGAAAUAAAGUCUUUGGAAAGCAGAGUUUUACAACAGCCACAGGUUUUAUGGAAGCAAUUCCGUAAUAACCUUCUACCUGCUCGCCCCUUUCCGCCCCGCCUGCUGCCCACCCCGUUUGGCCUCCUGGAUGCCCCCCCUCCCAAGAAGCCAGCCACCCCCCACCCACGCCCCGGAUACCCUUGAUGGCUGAGAGUUGGUAAGAAGAUUUCCUGGGGGUCCCGUCCCUGUCCCUCCUUUCACCUCUGACAUCCUAGGAGGGAGCUUGGCAGAAGAUUUCCUUACUUGACCCUUAAGAUCCCCACUUGGGGAAUGUGGAAGUAUCAAGGCUUGAAGCUGGGUGUGCGGAUUCUGUAGGGUACCUGUUCGGGCGUCCAUUUGGGAUAAAAGAACUGGGGCUUGGGAUCUUGAUUCCCACCUCCAGCAGGACAAGUGUCCUCCUGGCUCUGUUCCCACAGUGGCUCUGGACUCUGGUUCUUAAACAGCAGAAAUCCCCACCCUUGAGGAUGUGGACGGGGCAGGGGGGGAUUUCUUAUUUUGUUGUACACAGCACGGCUUUGGCAUGACCUCCAACGGUUACCUGAGGACUUUCACACUCAAUUCACAUCUGCCCACCUCUGCCUCACACUUACUCAGGACACGUGUGUGCACAAUUAGUGCUUCCACCCUCCAUGAAAUAAGCAUCACACAACAACACAUGCUGUCCCUGCAGUUUGGGCCAAGAUAUUCAGUGAAGAAUUUCAUGGUCAGACAAAAAAGAAGUCACCAAAUUUCAUGGCCUUUCCCCAAUAUGAAGUAUUUCCCUCAUCUUCCAGAGGAAGCUGUGAUAGAAUCCAGCCUAAGUCGCAGACUGAAAGGCUGAGGAUACAGUAGAGGUGUACAUUUGCCUUGAAUAUCCAGGGGCUGCUUUCCAAGUGAAACUUGAGAAUCAGCUAAUAUUUCAUAGCCACAAUUCAAGUACAGAAAUCCCUCGGUUUCUGCUUUCUCCAUAGGUGUGUGGAUGUUACAAAAAUAUACCUACAAGCUUUGGGGCCAUGGAUCUUCUUAAUCUGAGCAGAAUCGUUCAUCUCUGUGUUCAUCUCACAGAGGUUACAGGCAUAUCCACUUAUGCAAGACGAGACCUCCUCUUCGAAUGGAGUGCCCCCAUACACGGAGGGUUAGCGCUGGGCUCAGAUCUGUUUCUCACAUAUUCUACACAGUGCAGAGCUCAGCACAUUUGCACCCAGGGUCCCGCUACACUGGGAUUUAAAGUGAGACAUACAGGACAUAUUUAUCUGUGGAAAUACAGAAUGCAUCCAUUUUAGUUUAGCUUAAUAAUUUGAAAAACAAACUCUCUUUCCUUUUACUCCUGUCUUGUUUUGCUGUUUUCUUCUCUUCCAUCACCCCUAAAUUUUCUCUCUUUUUUCCUGACAAGGACCCUGAUCCAGUCUCCCCCUCAAAGCGUCCCACUCACCGGCUGAUUCGGGCCAGGAUCCACCUCUGCUCUGCAAACCCUGGCCCCUUCCUCUGCUGCCCUGGACCCCAGCGUGGCCAGGGGCUGCUGCUUUUCCUGUGCAGUCUUCCCAGGCCACUGGCCCCAGCUGUGUUCAGGCUCCGGUGCAGGACUGGCGCUGGUCUGGCGGGAGGCUGUGAGGCUGCCUCAAAGCCAGGACAGGGCAGGGAAAGCAGGAGGGUGGCAGUCAGAGCCUGGUGCCUGUACAGCUCGGCUCUUCAGGACAGCCCAGCGCCGUGACUUUUCCAUAAAUAAAAGGCCCAGCCCCACCGUUCCCAUGUCCUUUUGGGCCCUAAUUUAUAAGCUACAGAAAAUCAUAUACUCAGCCGCCAUGCUUCGUAACACCAUUAUUUAUGGCAGGGGAGGAGACUUCUUUUUUUUUUUUUUUUGCCCGAAGAGGAUAUUUAUUACAGGUAAAGCCCACGGCACACUCCA